GUUGAUGUAGCUUAAUAGGAAGAGCAACUGACUUGUAAUCAGUUGGUUGGGGGUUCAAGUCCCUUCAUCAGCA